UGGGGAAUAUUGCACAAUGGGCGAAAGCCUGAUGCAGCGACGCCGCGUGAGGGAUGGAGGCCUUCGGGUUGUAAACCUCUUUCGCUCAUGGUCAAGCCGCAGCUUUGGGUUGUGGUGAGGGUAGUGGGUAAAGAAACGCCGGCUAACUACGUGCCAGCAGCCGCGGUAAUACGUAGGGCGCGAGCGUUGUCCGGAAUUAUUGGGCGUAAAGGGCUUGUAGGCGGUUGGUCGCGUCUGCCGUGAAAUCCUCUGGCUUAACUGGGGGCGUGCGGUGGGUACGGGCUGACUUGAGUGCGGUAGGGGAGACUGGAACUCCUGGUGUAGCGGUGGAAUGCGCAGAUAUCAGGAAGAACACCGGUGGCGAAGGCGGGUCUCUGGGCCGUUACUGACGCUGAGGAGCGAAAGCGUGGGGAGCGAACAGGAUUAGAUACCCUGGUAGUCCACGCUGUAAACGUUGGGCACUAGGUGUGGGGGCCACCCGUGGUUUCUGCGCCGUAGCUAACGCUUUAAGUGCCCCGCCUGGGGAGUACGGCCGCAAGGCUA
rnacentral:rRNA from 1 species